AUAAAAUUAGUUAAAUAAUAACAUUAAUUUGUCAGAUUAAAGUUAAUAAAUAAUAUUAUUUUAUU
rnacentral:tRNA from 1 species